ensembl:lncRNA
CUACUCUUCAAGGACUUUUAACUCCUUGACUUCAUGUAACAAGAUUCAGACCCCAUAUCUAUUGUCUUGUAUUUUAACUAUCAUCAGGGUUUGUGGCUUGGAUGUGUCUGGUGCUUGGAUGCACCUGGUUUUCCUUCAAGGGAGUGUUGAUUGUUGCUAGGUUACUGGAUUCUUUUCUUGAGUGGUCAUUAGCUUACAACAGUCUCUCAAAUUCCCUUAAAAUUCCCUUUUUGUCUUUAAUCCCCUAGUGGGAUUUUUGAACUAUUUAAUUAUCUUACUCUAUCCCUCUCGCUGCCAGCUUCACUACUUGCACACGUGUUCUCCCAGACAUGGGCCAGCCCUUGCCAGAAAUCCAGGGUCUUCACUGACCUUGUCUCUUGUUCAUUCCAAUCCUGCUGGAUGUGCAGUGUCAGAUCUGUGUUUGGGAGAAUCAAGAUUCCAGCCCAGUAAUGGGAGUGGAGGCAGGUUUAUGUCAAGCUGAGGACCAUCACUAAUGCCGUUCCAAAGAGGCAGUUACGCAGUGGGUAAGUCUUGGUCUCAGGAGUUCAAAUCCUGAUCUACCUCUUGCUCUGUGUGACUCUGGGCCAGAACUCUGACUUGCCUUAGUGGUGGUUUUCUCAUCUGUGAAGUAGAAUAAUGAAGUCCAUCUAAUAAGGCUAUUCAGAGAAUUCAGUGAAAUGAUAUAAGCCAAG